AGGGUUGUAGCUCAACUGGUAGAGCACCGGUCUCCAAAACCGGGGGUUGGGGGUUCAAGUCCCUCCAGCCCUG
rnacentral:tRNA from 4 species